rnacentral:rRNA from 1 species
AUUGAACGCUGGCGGCAGGCUUAACACAUGCAAGUCGAGCGAGCGGCGGACGGGUGAGUAAUGUCUGGGAAACUGCCUGAUGGAGGGGGAUAACUACUGGAAACGGUAGCUUAUACCGCAUACCCUCAGUUUUGCCCAGAUGGGAUUAGCUAGUAGGUGGGGUAAUGGCUCACAUAGGCGACGAUCCCUAGCUGGUCUGAGAGGAUGACAAGUAAAACUGGAACUGAGACACGGUCAAGACUCCUACGGGAGGCAGCAGUGGGGAAUAUUGGACAAUGGGCGCAAGCCUGAUGCAGCCAUGCCGCGUGGGUGAAGAAGGCCUUCGGGUUGUAAAGCACUGUAAGCGAGGAGGCGUUACUCGCAGAAGAAGCACCGGCUAACUCCGUGCCAGCAGCCGCGGUAAUAC